GACGAACCGUGCGAACGUUGUUCGGAAUCACUGGGCAUAAGGGCGCGUAGGCGGCUUUUCAAGUCAGGGGUGAAAUCCGGCAGCUCAACUGUCGAAGUGCCCUUGAUACUGAGAGCUCGAGGGAGGUAGGGGUAUGUGGGAACUUCCGGUGGGAGCGGUGAAAUGCGUUGGAUAUCGGAAAGGAACGCCGGUGGCGAAAGC
rnacentral:rRNA from 1 species